rnacentral:rRNA from 1 species
CCUACGGGCGGCAGCAGUGGGGAAUAUUGGACAAUGGGCGAAAGCCUGAUCCAGCCAUGCCGCGUGUGUGAAGAAGGCCUUCGGGUUGUAAAGCACUUUCAGUGGGGAAGAAAGCCUUGGGGCUAAUACCCUCGAGGAAGGACAUCACCCACAGAAGAAGCACCGGCUAACUCCGUGCCAGCAGCCGCGGUAAUACGGAGGGUGCGAGCGUUAAGCGGAAUUACUGGGCGUAAAGCGCGCGUAGGCGGUCUGAUAAGCCGGUUGUGAAAGCCCCGGGCUCAACCUGGGAACGGCAUCCGGAACUGUCAGGCUAGAGUGCAGGAGAGGAAGGUAGAAUUCCCGGUGUAGCGGUGAAAUGCGUAGAGAUCGGGAGGAAUACCAGUGGCGAAGGCGGCCUUCUGGACUGACACUGACGCUGAGGUGCGAAAGCGUGGGUAGCAAACAGGAUUAGAUACCCGUGUAGUC